AUGCAUGCUGUGAAAUUUGGCUACAGAUGGAACAUAGGGGAUGGGAGCAGAACCAGGUUCUGGGAAGAUACUUGGUUUGGCACAUCCCCCCUAGCAGUCCAAUUUUGGCCUAUUUACUCUGUCCGCAAUGAGCUUAACAAAAGUGUCAAUGAAGUUUGGGAUGGUCAAUGCCUAAGACUCUCUUUUAGAAGGAACUUUAGUGAUAGUCUCAUGGAACAAUGGUUACAGUUGGAGGAAAUUGCCAAAAGCAUUACCUUUACUGCCGAGCCGGAUGCCCUGAUUUGGUAG
rnacentral:rRNA from 1 species